GAAUGUCUGUUGUGUGUUUCUGCACAUACACGAGGUAUCACACACAUACUCAUCUUAACACAGCAACCGUUUGCUCAGUCCUGCAAGAAAACGGUGCCUGGCUGUCACCAGCAAGGAGUUUCACAAAAGCAGUCCAUAUACAAAACAUGGGCCACUGCCACGUGGACCCCAGGUUUGCUGGGCUCCUUCAUUCUCAUUGUCAGUCUGUCCGUGGUGAUGGCUAAGAAUGCCAAGGUCACUGAGAGGAGAGAUGGCCAGGGGAGGCGUCUUGGGGUGCUGAGGAAAUAAGGUGGGCCUUGAGGAGGAAUCAGCUUUGGAAGAACAGCUGGAGACAACUCAAACAGCAGGUGACACUGGGGAUCCUGCCUUAAGCCUGUGUCUCCUGCCCCCCACCCCCGCCCCAGAGCAGGCUUUCCAAACUGUUGGCCAUGAGGCAAGGUGCCAAGAAACAUCAGUGAUGAUGCUCCUGUCAUGAAACGUGGCCUCCCUGUGCUCUUCAGCCUCUUGGAGAUUCGGUGGGAGUUGCCUGUGUGGCUCUGAAUGAGCCUGCAGGGGUCGGCGGGGGCUGACUUCACUGUCAUGAUCUUUGCUGCUUUAAACACACUUCAUCGGCGCAUCUGGUGUUGGUUGAGUACACACAGUGUACCAGACACUGAGCCAGGCAGGGCAGGGAAACAGCGGUAAGAAAGACUUUCGGUCUGGCUUUUUUUCAUGGCUACAUGGGGGAAGGGGCCAUGGGUUUGGCCUGCAUGCCGGCAAGCAUUUCCUCUACUUGAAGACGGAGCUUUGUUCUGCCCAGUCAGACCCUGAAAUGGCAAAGCAGAAAGGUCCUGUUUCGACAAGGCCCUCAUUCUGGGAAGAGCACACAAGGUUGUGCUACUGAGUUCAUUGACAGAAACUCUCACGGACGAUCACCACAUUAUGUAUCACACACCUCCCCCUCACAGAACCCGUGAGCCACCUGGUCCAGGUAGCAAGGUGUCGGCCCAUGGUACAGCUGGCAGCCUCUGUGCCAUUUGCUGAAGGAAAGACAAAAAUGGACUCUCCAGUGGGGAGCAGACUGCCCUCCCGAAACCAAUACACUCACGUAGUAUUUUACACUGCUUUACUGGAGUAAAGUUUCAAUACGAAGCCUCCCCCACAAACUCAUGGGGUUAGAACUCUUGGUCCCCAUCUGGUGGUGCUGUCUGAGGGAGGGCGGAGCCUCACUGAGAGAAGUGGGUUGCCUGGCCUGGUAUCAGCUCCCUGCGCACCACCGUGAUUCAGGCGCCUACCCUCAGGUCCCUGAAUCACAGCCCUUGGCAGCCACUCCCAGUGCACACCUUACCUGUCACGAAGGGCUGUGCUCUCAUGCCAUGAGCCAAAUUAAGCCCUUUCUCUUAAGUUCCUUCUUCUUGUUGUGCAUUUACAAUAAAUAUGGGAGGGAGGAUGAGCCAUGCCUACAUAGCUGUCCCGUGCUUUGCAGAGACUGUCUUGGCCUGACUCAGGCCACCCGAGCCAAGGACACAGUGUCAUGGAGGGGAUCACCAAGCCUUAAAGGGCCUUCCUUUCAUUUUCCAGGGUGCACAGACAGCUCUGCAACUGGCACACUCGCCUCUGACUGCUCUCCCAUUUCCAGCAAGCGGCAGGGAAGCCAUCAACGCAGUGUGGCGCCAAUGGUGUGGCAUGGCGCUCUACAGGACACAGAUGCACAGAUUUUUUGAGAACGUCAUGUCAGUGCAAAAAAAGGAAAAAAAAAUAGAUGAGACCUGCCACAAGUCUAAAACUACACACUGCUGUCACAGCAUUGCCUCUGGAUGUUCCGGCCUUGGUGCUUCUGCAAGGAAAAGGAAGAACAAGAAGGCAUGGUCUACACGGUACUUGGAAGCCAUGGGCCCAUAUUUCAUGAACCACACAGCCUCUUGCACCAGUUAGCUGACUUGUCAGAUUGUGAUGUUGGAACUUCCACCAGCGGCAUGAGACACAGUCUCCGCUUGCAACCGGGGAUAACAGACAGAGGUCGUCUCGACUGAGCAUGCCCACCAGCCCACUUUAGGUUCUGAUGCACCCUUUGUGCAGAAGGAAAUCGCCUUGCUGAGUUCCUUCCUGUGACACCACCAUCCUCCUUUCCCAGCAACUAUGACCGAGAGGCUACACUCGUGCUGAAGAGUGCACGGGCAGAUUUAGAAAUGCCGCCUAAAUCUCAGCCCACAGGGAACAGGUGCAAACGUUUAGGGCAUCGCAGCUGAAGAGAAGAGCAUCAUCGUCCCUCCCCACAGCUAUUUCCAAACAAGCAAACAAAGUCUAUGAAACACUUGAAAUCAGCACUGAAUUCCAACAGCCGGGGAUGCAGUCUGGAACCACAACACCACACUUGAUACUGCAAGUACCAGAAUGGUAAACUUUCCUCUGCCACAGACAGGCAAUGGUUUGAAGAGGGAGAGGGUAGUUCUGCCAAGUUGCUCAAUCCAGCAAGGAUUAGCUUUCGAUGAGAAAGGUACUCUGUCUUGAUUCCCAGCCGCCUUCUGGAAUGACAUUAAAAUCCCACGAGCUCUGGGGACUAUGCUGGGAUGAACUGUAAUGCCAUAUUCUCGGGUGUGAAGCUUCCAUAACGAUAUAUUCGCAUGUUAAAAAUCCUGGAAGCUUGGAAGAUAUUCAUGCAAUUACAGGGGAAACAAUCUCAUGAUUUCUACAGAGAGCGCAGCUGUCAGGGACAAGAGAACAUUUCAAAACAUCCCCUUCAACACCUGUGUUUAUUUCUUAACGCAUAUAUGUUUUCACUAGAGAGUGAGGGAGUGAAUGAAAACACGUCAGAUGGAGGGAACAUGGAGGGAAUUGGCAUCAGCUCCUGACAGUUGCCCACCACCCCAGACACCAACACAAUCACCAAUUAGAAACUAUUUAUUAGGCCAAAAACUAAUGGCAAACAGAACAAAGCUGCAAAAACAAAACCUAAGAGUCAUGCACAUGGGAAGUCAAAGACAACCAUUGUCUUUCUGCUGACCCACACCAGGACAAGGACGAGAGGGCAAGGAGGCAGAUGUGGAUCCAUCUGGCCAUUUGGUUCAACGGGGCAGCCACAAUUAUCCCCCACUCUCCAGGUAAGGACAGACCUCCUUUCCAGCUAUUUUUGGCAUCCGAACACCGGUGAAUUGGGUGAGUUGGCAGUUGAAGAGACCGACU